rnacentral:rRNA from 1 species
GUAGGGAAUAUUGGGCAAUGGUCGGAAGACUGACCCAGCCAUGCCGCGUGCAGGAAGACGGCCCUCUGGGUUGUAAACUGCUUUUAUCUGGGAAGAAAAAGGCCAUGCGUGGCAAAUUGCCGGUACCAGAUGAAUAAGCACCGGCUAACUCCGUGCCAGCAGCCGCGGUAAUACGGAGGGUGCGAGCGUUGUCCGGAUUUAUUGGGUUUAAAGGGUGCGUAGGCGGCUGAUUAAGUCAGCGGUGAAAGACUUCGGCUUAACCGGAGCAGUGCCGUUGGUACUGGUUGGCUUGAGUGUCGGAGGGGUACAUGGAAUUGAUGGUGUAGCGGUGAAAUGCAUAGAUACCAUCAGGAACACCGAUAGCGAAGGCAUUGUACUGGCCGACAACUGACGCUGAUGCACGAAAGUGUGGGGAUCGAACAGGAUUAGAUACCCGUGUAGUCC